rnacentral:rRNA from 1 species
GACGAACGCUGGCGGCGUGCUUAACACAUGCAAGUCGAGCGGUAAGGCCCUUUCGGGGGUACGACGAGCGGCGAACGGGUGAGUAACACGUGGGUGACCUGCCCUCAGCUCUGGGAGUAAGCCUGGGAAACCGGGGUACUAAUACCGGAUAUGACUCCAUGACGCAUGUUGUGGGGUGGAAAGCCUUGUGCGGCUGAGGAUGGGCCCGCGGCCUAUCAGCUUGUUGGUGGGGUGAUGGCCUACCAAGGCGACGACGGUAGCCGCCUGAGAGGGCGACCGGCCACACUGGGACUGAGACACGGCCCAGACUCCUACGGGAGGCAGCAGUGGGGAAUCUUGCGCAAUGGGGCGAAAGCCUGACGCAGCGACGCCGCGUGAGGGAUGACGGCCU